GUAGAUGACAUUUAACCUUGUUUAGAGAUAUAGAUUGAUUGACGUCACCAUUCGAAUAGUUGUUGGAACCACACGAUUGAUAAUGUUUUUUUAAUUGCCUUUGUAUGCUUUAUGACCUUGAGCACUUUUGGGGAUAAAAAGGCUGCUUUAACUGACCAAAAGCAGCUCAUUCUUUUGGACUGUCAGGUGCUCUACUUGGGAGACUGUUGACUGUUCUUGAAUCAGCUCUUUUAAUUGCAAUUAAAUCUCAACAUUAAAUCUCAACAUUGGAUAUAUCCACGGUGUAUGGUCUGCUUGUAAGACAACGGUUGGGACGAACGGGGAAAAAGUUACAAUUCUACAUUUGGCGCUGCGAGCAGGGUCUCAAGACGUUACAUCAAGGAACGAGGAGUCGAAUAAGAGGUCAAGCAGUUGUCGAGAACAGCAUCCGAGAAACAGGCCAACAAGCGCCCAGUAUUACCUUGACUCUUAGAAACUUACAGGACAGAAAAAGACCAUUGAGUCUCUGCUGAUUCUUAUGUGCAAACUGAAGGAACCAACAUCUGAGAAGUGAGAAUGGGUCACAGCAAGAUUAUACCACAGCAUUUUCUUUAAAGUGUGGAGAGCCAAGAGAGAAGUGGAAAAAGGCAUAGCAGAAUAAACAGUGCAAGGUAGCUGGAUAGAACACAUCUGCAGAGAACCAAAGACACCAAUAAUAACUUGUUGCAGUAUAUCAAUGUAAUAUCAUCCUUGCAAUGUAAUCUCAUGAAAGCUAUUAGAUUUAGAAACUGUGACAAAGCUGCUUUCUUUGUGAAACUUUGAAAAAUUGUAUUCCUUUAAUUCGAUCAGAAAUGAAGAGAUGAGCAAUUGGGACAAUUAUUUCAUGUCUUCUCACUGAGUACACUGAGUGAAAGGAAACAGACAGAACAAAAUGAAAAACACUUGAUAACUAACAAGUAAAAGAGUGGCAGCAGAUAAAUUCAUUACAUGAGGUUGUUUUACAAUGUUGUGACUUUGUAUUCUAUACAUUUUCCUGUAUGCACUUAUGUGUGAAAUUGUUUUUAUAAAACAAGAUAAGACUUGCUUGUGAUGUCUUUUAUAUAAGCCAAGAUGUUUGAUUACUGA